rnacentral:tRNA from 1 species
GCGGGUGAAGACAAAUGGUUGAGUCGUCCGUCCUUCAAACGGGAAACAGUCGGGUUCGAUUCCCACCAUCCGUA